rnacentral:tRNA from 1 species
GGCCGAGUUUCCCGACUGGCAGUGGACCAACCGAGACCAGACCUGAUCGACGGCGGCGGAGGCAACGGAUUCAAAACCCGUCCAGUGUGAGUUCGAGUCUCACCGGGGGCACCA